rnacentral:rRNA from 1 species
GAUGAACGCUGACAGAAUGCUUAACACAUGCAAGUCAACUGUGGCGGACGUUUGAGUAACGCGUAAAGAACUUGCCUCACAGCUAGGGUCAACAUUUGGAAACGAAUGCUAAUAUCUGAUACUGUGAGAGAGCUUUGCGUCCCAUUAGCUAGUUGGAGAGGUAACGGCUCACCAAGGCGAUGAUGGGUAGCCGGCCUGAGAGGGUGAUCGGCCACAAGGGGACGGAGAAACGGCCCUUACUCCUACGGGAGGCAGCAGUGGGGAAUAUUGGAGAAUGGGCCAAAGUCUGAGCCAGCAAUACGGUGUGGACGAUAAAGUUGUCGGGAUGUAAAGUGCUUUCAGGUGGGAAGCGGUACCAACAGAAGAAGCAACGGCAAAAUACGUGCCAGCAGCCGCAGUAAUUC